AGGAGCUGUAUGAGGCGAAAGUCUCACGUACAGUUUUGAAUCACUAGCCGUUGCAGCGUGAAAUCGAGCAAUGUAUCCCGUGAAGGCGGGUGUAAACGAACUUUGAGUGACUGAGCGGACGGCUAAGUGUAAC
rfam:Candidatus Thiomargarita nelsonii contig_1741, whole genome shotgun sequence.